GACGAACGCUGGCGGCGUGCUUAACACAUGCAAGUCGUACGGUAAGGCCCUUUCGGGGGUACACGAGUGGCGAACGGGUGAGUAACACGUGAGUAACCUGCCCACAACUUUGGGAUAACGCUAGGAAACUGGUGCUAAUACUGGAUAUGUGCUCCUGCUGCAUGGUGGGGGUUGGAAAGCUCCGGCGGUUGUGGAUGGACUCGCGGCCUAUCAGCUUGUUGGUGGGGUAGUGGCCUACCAAGGCGGCGACGGGUAGCCGGCCUGAGAGGGUGACCGGCCACAUUGGGACUGAGAUACGGCCCAGACUCCUACGGGAGGCAGCAGUGGGGAAUAUUGCACAAUGGGCGCAAGCCUGAUGCAGCACCGCCGCGUGCGGGAUGACGGCCUUCGGGUUGUAAACCGCUUUCAGCAGGGAAGAAGCUUUUUGUGACGGUACCUGCAGAAGAAGCACCGGCUAACUACGUG
rnacentral:rRNA from 1 species